CGGCAGCCCGAGUGGUGAUCACUAUUAUUGGGUCUAAAGGGUCCGUAGCCGGUUUGAUCAGUCUUUUGGGAAAUCUGACAGCUUAACUGUUAGGCUUCCAAAGGAUACUGUCAGACUUGGGACCGGGAGAGGUAAGAGGUACUACAGGGGUAGGAGUGAAAUCUUGUAAUCCCUGUGGGACCGCCAGUGGCGAAGGCGUCUUACCAGAACGGGCCCGACGGUGAGGGACGAAAGCUGGGGGCACGAACCGGAUUAGAUACCCGAGUAGUCC
rnacentral:rRNA from 1 species